rnacentral:rRNA from 1 species
CCUGGCUCAGGAUGAACGCUAGCGGCAGGCUUAACACAUGCAAGUCGAGGGGGUAUUGGUUUUCGGACCAAGAGACCGGCGCACGGGUGCGUAACGCGUAUGCAAUCUACCUUUCACAGAGGGAUAGCCCAGAGAAAUUUGGAUUAAUACCUCAUAGUAUAGCAGUUUCGCAUGAAACCACUAUUAAAGUCACAACGGUGAAAGAUGAGCAUGCGUCCCAUUAGCUAGUUGGUAAGGUAACGGCUUACCAAGACAAUGAUGGGUAGGGGUCCUGAGAGGGAGAUCCCCCACACUGGUACUGAGACACGGACCAGACUCCUACGGGAGGCAGCAGUGAGGAAUAUUGGACAAUGGGCGCAAGCCUGAUCCAGCCAUGCCGCGUGCAGGAUGACGGUCCUAUGGAUUGUAAACUGCUUUGUACAGGAAGAAACACUACUUCGUGAAGUAGCUUGACGGUACUGUAAGAAUAAGGAUCGGCUAACUCCGUG